rnacentral:rRNA from 1 species
UACACUCCUACGGGAGGCAGCAGUGGGGAAUUUUGGACAAUGGGCGCAAGCCUGAUCCAGCCAUGCCGCGUGCGGGAAGAAGGCCUUCGGGUUGUAAACCGCUUUUGUCAGGGAAGAAAAGGUUCUGGCUAAUACCUGGGACUCAUGACGGUACCUGAAGAAUAAGCACCGGCUAACUACGUGCCAGCAGCCGCGGUAAUACGUAGGGUGCAAGCGUUAAUCGGAAUUACUGGGCGUAAAGCGUGCGCAGGCGGUUAUGCAAGACAGAGGUGAAAUCCCCGGGCUCAACCUGGGAACUGCCGUUGUGACUGCAUGGCUAGAGUACGGUAGAGGGGGAUGGAAUUCCGCGUGUAGCAGUGAAAUGCGUAGAUAUGCGGAGGAACACCGAUGGCGAAGGCAAUCCCCUGGACCUGUACUGACGCUCAUGCACGAAAGCGUGGGGAGCAAACAGGAUUAGAUACCCUAGUAGUCCCAU